GACGUAGGGCGCGAGCGUUGUCCGGAUUUAUUGGGCGUAAAGAGCUCGUAGGCGGCUUGUCGCGUCGGGAGUGAAAGCCCGGGGCUUAACCCCGGGUCGGCAGUGGAUACGGGCAGGCUAGAGGUAGGUAGGGGAGAAUGGAAUUCCCGGUGUAGCGGUGAAAUGCGCAGAUAUCGGGAGGAACACCGGUGGCGAAGGCGGUUCUCUGGGCCUUACCUGACGCUGAGGAGCGAAAGCGUGGGGAGCGAACAGG
rnacentral:rRNA from 1 species